GUCCACGCCCUAAACUAUGUCAACUGGUUGUCGGGGAAGCAAUUCCUUGGUAACGAAGCUAACGCGUGAAGUUGACCGCCUGGGGAGUACGGCCGCAAGGUUAAAACUCAAAGGAAUUGACGGGACCCGCACAAGCGGUGGAUUAUGUGGAUUAAUUCGAUGCAACGCGAAAACCUUACCUACCCUUGACAUGUACGGAAGCCCGCAGAGAUGUGGGUUUGCCCGAAAGGGAGCCGUAACACAGGUGCUGCAUGGCUGUCGU
rnacentral:rRNA from 1 species